UACGUAGGGCGCAAGCGUUGUCCGGAAUUAUUGGGCGUAAAGAGCUCGUAGGCGGCUCGUUGCGUCGGCUGUGAAAACCCGCAGCUCAACUGUGGGCUUGCAGCCGAUACGGGCAGGCUAGAGUUCGGUAGGGGAGACUGGAAUUCCUGGUGUAGCGGUGAAAUGCGCAGAUAUCAGGAGGAACACCGGUGGCGAAGGCGGGUCUCUGGGCCGAUACUGACGCUGAGGAGCGAAAGCGUGGGGAGCGAACAGG
rnacentral:rRNA from 1 species